AUGAGCGCUGGCGGCGUGCUUAACACAUGCCAGUCGAACGAAGCAUUUAAGACAGAUUACUUCGGUUUGAAGUCUUUUAUGACUGAGUGGCGGACGGGUGAGUAACGCGUGGGUAACCUGCCUCAUACAGGGGGAUAGCAGCUGGAAACGGCUGGUAAUACCGCAUAAGCGCACAGUACCACAUGGUACAGUGUGAAAAACUCCGGUGGUAUGAGAUGGACCCGCGUCUGAUUAGCUUGUUGGCGGGGUAACGGCCCACCAAGGCGACGAUCAGUAGCCGACCUGAGAGGGUGACCGGCCACAUUGGGACUGAGACACGGCCCAGACUCCUACGGGAGGCAGCAGUGGGGAAUAUUGCACAAUGGAGGAAACUCUGAUGCAGCGACGCCGCGUGAGUGAAGAAGUAGUUCGCUAUGUAAAGCUCUAUCAGCAGGGAAGAUAGUGACGGUACCUGACUAAGAAGCUCCGGCUAAAUACGUG
rnacentral:rRNA from 1 species